rnacentral:lncRNA from 1 species
UCAUAAUUUGGAAUUUUUAGAGAUAGUGCCACAUCACAAUAUAUAAGAUGCUCCAUGGUCCUUAUAAUUUUUUCUUGUUUAGCUUCGGUAUGCCGCUUUGCUCUGAAGGGAAGUGGGGGGGGGUCUAUAUGGUCUGUGGUGGUAAAUUGAUAGAAAGAGAAGCAAGAAGCCCAUGUUCCCCCAGAUCGAGUAUAUCCUGGUCCUGAAAGGUGUAUCCAAGCUUCCUCAUGUCAUGUUUAAGUAUGAAUCACUUGUUUAUUGCGACAUGGACCACUGAUAUCUGAAAUAUAUGAAAAAGAACAUCAGGGCCCAAGAAAACAUAUGCCCUCGUAAAAGUAAAAGAAUGUACCAGUAAAAGAAAUGCUCCAGUAGAAGUGCUCUGUUAUUUUUAGUGUCAGUACCUCCAACUAAUAGAAUUACAAUAGACGGUAACCCAAAAAUAUGUCCAUCUCCUGAACUUCUUUGUUGAACUGUGGGACUAACACAAUGUACACUCUCAAGGAAACGAAAACUUCCCAAACUGAAGAGACUAGACCAAAAAAACCGUAAAGACCGAACGCCCGGGCUUAUCCUCGCGUUCUAUAUAGUAUUUAUGUUUAAUAACCAAUUCAACAUCAUCCAAGUAAAUUGCUAGCAUCCAGGUAAGAAAGUGCUCUGAAGCAAUGAAAAAACUAACCAAUUCAGCAUCAUCAAUGAAAGAAUCUUCAGUGGCAUACUGAUUAUCAUCAGGCACAUCACCCAGAUCUUCUUCGUGACUACUAUGCCUGCCCUAUCAAAGUGCAGUAUGAGGACAUGGGGCAAAGACGUUAUGCACAUGGUGUAUAAUGUUAAAAGUGCAUCUUGAGAUAACAACAUGUGCAUUACCAUGUAAAGGCGCUCGAUUAUCUCAAUAACCACAUUGAACCGAUUUGACUGUGAUGGAUCAUUUGGGUCAUUUUCUGUUGGAUGUACCUGACUCCAAAAACAUGAGACAACAUCAAUAUCAAAUAUAACAAUAAUCCAACUGUUCUGCAACAACAAAAAACUAAUUAAUCUAUCUAUCACAUGUGAAAACAAACACAAGAUAGACUGAUUAAUCCAAAGAACGGGUAAGUGCAGCAGCUGGCAAUGUGAACAUCAAGGAUGAUAGAUAAUACAUUAAUAUUUUCCAUAUAUUGUGAACUACCAACAGGGAAUUUUAAUUAGAAAACGGCUUGUGUCUUGUAUAGUGCAAAGUAUGUAAUUUCAUUUUACAGUAGCCACCUCAUCAGUUACCCUGAACAGUUUUCUUGAAUUUUCCUUAGCUUUUUGCUGCACUUUUGUUGGAAGCGUGUAUAUGUUUUGAGGCCCUGGAGAAGAAGCUAAGCAGACAUAAUCCUAUCUCAUUGCAAAGGGUUCCACUGUCCACGACAACACCUGAUGUAUGCCUUAUUAUCUCUAUUUUACAUCUCUUAACUUUUGUUGUCUGUACUAAAUUUCUCUGUUGCAAACUACUUUUACGCUCGCUCUACAUAGACUAACAUUACUCCUCACGUGGCUACAACAGGAUUGAUCAGCCCACAAAUGCACUAACAGUUGUAUCUAGCUAGUCCCCAACAUAUUAUGCACAUAAUAGAAUCCCAAUUUCUCCAUCCCUCCCACUUGAAAUCCCUUGGUUUGCAUGCUUGAUCGGCGCCCAUAGUGGUCAAGCUAAAUUUUGAAUGAUAAAUUCAAGUGGACCAUUCCCAUAGUUCUAACAUACAAACCUACUUGAUCAAUCACCCCAGCUUCAAGAGCAAUGUAUCUUAACCAGCCUAUCAUAUGAGAAUCCAGAGGGCUGAUGUUUGGAACAAUGGUUCUUCUGAAGGUAUCCCAAAAUAAUGAGACAAGGAUGUAAAUCACAAUCAUAAGAGUUACCUCCUAUAACUCGGUGGAGGAUUGAAUGAUGAAAAAACUAUGCUGGCCACACACUUGAUUUCUGCUAGUGCAGAUGCCAGCAAAUUAGUAAGAGCUACAGUAGUAUCCUCCAUGAAAUUCAAACCAUCAAGCUCCUGGUGAGCAGUUUUUCCUGCAUCUACAGGGGAAAGCAAAUAAGAUCUACAUCAACCAUGGGUUGAAUUAAGACUUGCGCACAAAUCUAGUACUACUACUUGGUAAGACCUACCGCAACACCAGAGGGCCCCGCGAGGGGGGCGACGAUGGGCUGUAUCGCCGGGGCGUGCAAAGAGGGCGGUUCCCGGGUCUGCCUCCUUGACCAGCUUCUUCCAGGACACAAUGAUCGUCUCCCCGGGCCAAUUUGUUUAGUACUGAACUAAAAAUGGCUUGGCCGUCCAAUUUAUAAAAAAAAUCAGAAAUGAGAAUACAUAAAUCUUUAGACAAUGCUAAUAAUGUAACUUGUCACAGACACAAAAUUUGCUACUAUUUUUCAGUGUUGAAUUAUACUAAAUACAAUAUAAGGCAUUCAGAAAAAUCCUCACCUUAAAUAAGGCAUUACAACAAACUUGUUGGGAAAACCUGCACACAACUACCAGAUAAUUAAAAAUAAGGCAUUAAUUCGUCUUAGCACAAGGAAUUACGUCCUAGGAAAAAGAACAAAAUUACUGACUAAUGUCACAUUGCUUGAUUGGAGUAUUACCUGGAAAUGAAAACAAGCUAGGCAGAUCAUUGAUGCACUAUAUGAAUUACAAACAAGCACUGCAAAAAUAUACAUCCAGUAUAGAACAGAGGUCACUUAAUAUAUAUGCAAAAUAAAAACAUUGCCAUACACAAAAAUAAAUCCAAACAAUGAUAGAAUAAAUCAAGAGGUUCAUCCUGUUGUUCCCAUCAACACAACAAAAAUAUGCAUUUAGUAUAGAACGGAUGCCAAAAUAAAGAGUUGGGACAUACAUUUCCAUUGAAGUUCUUCGUUUCAGUUCAGGACAGUACCAUUCAAUCCAUACGCCCAUCCCUACAAAACUGUAUCAAUAAGACAAAUUCAACCAAAAUAUUUCAAUGGCUAAUCGAGUGUUCGAUAACUGUAGACUGCGGAUACAAAUGAAAUGCGGAAAUGAUGAACAUCUUCUUAGUGCGGAAAUCCAAAUCUAAGCUGAAAUAUGGCAUUUCUUAUGUUUAAAGUGACAAUAACAUGAGAGAUAGUCCGCUGCCGCCGCAAGCAGAGUAGGUGCGUCGCACCUACUGGUAGCAAAACGGUGCGGCUGCGUGUGUUCUCCAUGAGUAAAACUUCCAUGCAUACAUAGCAUCAUGUAGGUGUACUUACAUAACUCGUAUAGUUGUUGCACAUCACUACAAAGCCAAGCAAGACACAAGAAUAUGUGACAAAAUGAGCAUUCUGACCUUGUCAAGAACAUUUGGAUUUGCACCAGCUUCCAACAAGCACUUGAUAGCUUCAGUUAAGCCCUUCUGCAGCCGUUACCAACGGAUUAUAACAAGGACCAGCACCACUCACAUUAGCUCCACCCUAUGAGAUGCAAGUAUGAAAAGCCAAUCAUUUGUUUAGUUGUUAAUACAAAAAUGACUAAAUCAAACAUCAGUUUAUAGAAAUCUAGAUUCCUAUUGCAGUACAAAAAGAGGAUACAAUACCUGAAUCAAUAGCUACAGAUACUGGAUCCUCUCUUGUUUGGUAUUCCCUCACAGCCUUACUGAACUUUCAUCAAACACCUUGUAGGCAUAGAUAAAAAAGAAUUUGCACAUGUAAAUAAAUGAGCUGAAGAGAAAGGGCAGGAGGCAAGGGGAAAAGCCAGGUGUGGCAUCUUCUACUUUUCCAUGGCCGCCUGCACCUCGGGGUCGGCAGCUGCCCUCUGACAGAGAGAGGGAGAGAUGUAGAGGGAUAGAGAGAGGCACUCACCAACGCGCGGAGCUUGGCAGCCAAAACGGAAGGGAAGCCGGCCCCAAUGACCUCCUCCGCCUUCUAUGCUAGUCACCACCAGUCGCUCCCGCGCGAGAUGCAGGAGAGCGCACACGAGGCAGCCGCAGCUCGGCCUCUCCAUCUUCUCCGGUCGCUGCAAACCAUGGUGGAAGGUGGGCGGACGAGCUCCUCUCCAUCUUCUCGACCCGCUGCAGGGAGAGAAGGGAACGGGCAGCUGUAGAUGGAGCAACACCGGUCGCCUCCGGGUGCGGCGGCUCUGGCGAGAUGGGAAGAGUGGAGGGAGGCGGCAGCUGCGCUGGGAGUAGAGAGCGCCGAGCGGGGAAGGAGGGACGCGGGGGACCGCUCCGACCCGGACGCCCUCCAUGGCGUCGCCGCCGAGGCGCGCGGAUGGAGGAGGAGAAGAGGACGCGGCGCGCGGAUGGAGGAGGUGGCGCGGAUGGAGGAGGAGGCGAGGACGCGGCUAGGGUUCAUGGGGAAGACGCAGUCUGCGCGGUCUCGCUCCUGCCCGCGCUGCCUGCCUUUUUGGUCCACUGAAAAGAGUAAAAUGCCCUUGGCCCGUUGAAAAGACUAAAAUGCCCUUGAUGGGAUGCAGAAUUUACAAGCGGUGGCAUAGCGAUUAUAUGGGGCGACGUGGAGGGCGCGGUCGUGACUACGAGUCUAGAAGGGUUUAUAUGUUCAAUCACUUGUUUAUUGCGACAUGGACCACUGAUAUCUGAAAUAUAUGAAAAAGAACAUCAACGCCCAAGAAAAAAUAUGCCCUCGUAAAAGUAAAAGAAUGUACCAGUAAAAGAAAUGCUCCAGUAGAAGUCCUCUGUUACUUUUAGUGUCAGUACCUCCAACUAACAGAAUUACAAUAGACGGUAACCCAAAAAUAUGUCCAUCUCCUGAACUUCUUUGUUGAACUGUGGGACUAACACAAUGUACACUCUCAAGGAAACGAAAACUUCCCAAACUGAAGAGACUGGACCAAAAAAACCGUAAAGACCGAAUGCCCGGGCUUAUCCUCGCGUUCUAUAUAGUAUUUAUGUUUAAUAACCAAUUCAACAUCAUCCAAGUAAAUUGCUAGCAUCCAGGUAAGAAAUUGCUCUGAAGCAAUGAAAAAACUAACCAAUUCAGCAUCAUCAAUGAAAGAAUCUUCAGUGGCAUACUGAUUAUCAUCAGGCACAUCACCCAGAUCUUCUUCGUGACUACUAUGCCUGCCCUAUCAAAGUGCAGUAUGAGGACAUGGGGCAAAGACGUUAUGCACAUGGUGUAUAAUGUUAAAAGUGCAUCUUGAGAUAACAACAUGUGCAUUACCAUGUAAAGGCGCUCGAUUAUCUCAAUAACCAC